rnacentral:rRNA from 1 species
UAGGGAAUCUUCGGCAAUGGACGAAAGUCUGACCGAGCAACGCCGCGUGAGUGAAGAAGGUUUUCGGAUCGUAAAACUCUGUUGUUAGAGAAGAACAAGGACGUUAGUAACUGAACGUCCCCUGACGGUAUCUAACCAGAAAGCCACGGCUAACUACGUGCCAGCAGCCGCGGUAAUACGUAGGUGGCAAGCGUUGUCCGGAUUUAUUGGGCGUAAAGCGAGCGCAGGCGGUUUCUUAAGUCUGAUGUGAAAGCCCCCGGCUCAACCAGGGAGGGUCAUUGGAAACUGGGUGACUUGAGUGCAGAAGAGGAGAGUGGAAUUCCAUGUGUAGCGGUGAAAUGCGUAGAUAUAUGGAGGAACACCAGUGGCGAAGGCGGCUCUCUGGUAUGUAACUGACGCUGAGGCUCGAAAGCGUGGGGAGCAAACAGG